rnacentral:misc_RNA from 1 species
AUUUAUGAUUUGUUUGAGCUCCUAUACAGCGCCUGGAACAUGUUUGAUGCGACAACCACUGCAGCCGAGCCGAUUGACGGAAGUGUCAUUCCAGACGUGUGUUACACAGAACUUUUUCAAAGGAGGUACCUUUUUUACGGUAAGAAGUCACACAAACCAUUACACGCUUUAUGUGACAUUAUAGCAAAAAUCGUGUCUAGAUUCUCGUACAAAUAUACUAUUUUGUUUCAUAGGACAAUGUCUAUUGACGUUUAUCGUGAAAAUCUACGGUUACGUGUUAAUCGGGUCCAUGAUUCUGGGCCAACUUCCACAAAUAUUCAAAGUGCUCAAAAGACGUAAUGGUUCCGGAAUCAAUGUCUUGAGCACGCUUUUGAUGCUGGAGGCUUCCUCUUCUACAGUUGCUUACUCCGUGUGGAAGCAGUUUCCUAUCAAUACCUGGGGAGAAAAUCUAGUGUUUAUGGUGGAAAACGUGAUCUUGGUGUGUUUAUUGCUGCAAUACAACAGGCGCCCCCUAUCGGCACUGAUGUUUAUGCUGCUCUACGUUGUAGUUAUGCUGCUUCUACUCCUGCCUCUUCUUCCCACGACCUUCCUCAUCUCUCUUCAUAUUCUCAGUAUGCCGAUUUUUAGCAUAAGCAGGGUUAUGCAGAUUUACACAAACUACAGAAACCAUGGCACGGGUCAGCUAUCCGCCGCCUCCGCCUUCCUCAGUAUGUUUCAGAGCUUCGGGAGAUUUACCUCCUCUCUUCUCCUUACGAUGGACAAAAUAAUGAUUCUCACUUUCGUUCAAGCCAGUAUUCUCAAUAUCGUUCUAACUGCACAAAUUGUGUAUUAUCGUAGAAAGGAGAAAAAAGGCAAGUGAGGGGAAUAAUUUCUAGGUUAGUAGAGAAGAAGAUUUCUCGGGCUGUUAAAAGAAGCCAUUAACUGCACUAAGGCAAAAUGCUCAAGGAUGUAAAACGGUGUCCAACGUGGAAACUCAAAAUAGGCCUCCAUACAUCAGUAAUGAGUGAGUUUUCUGAUCGCGGUAUUCCGUCCCAAAAAGUGAAAUAAUCUCAAGGACAGACGACAAAAAAGAACGUAAUAAACUUGUAAUUCUGAUUUUUCUUGAGAUCCGACUUUAUGGUCUCAUUGAACUGUUGUUGCAAUGUUUAUGAUUAAACAAUAAAACGGUGU